AACCGUUUGACUCAUAUAUAGAGAUAGAAGGUCGGGCUUGUGGAGUUAUAGGCUACAUGGUUCUCACUUUUGAUUGGGGGACUGCAAAAUGUACUACAAGUAGGUAAGAAAGGUCUUAUAAGCGUAUUAGUUAUCCACCUCUUUGUCUUAUACACCAUUAACAAGCAUUAACAAGCUGCUUGUUAACACUUACAAAUGUUAACAAAUAAGC